rnacentral:rRNA from 1 species
AACGAACGUUGGCGGCGUGGAUUAGGCAUGCAAGUCGAACGCGAAUCCCUGGGCAACUGGGGAGGAGAGUGGCGAAAGGGGCAGUAAGGCGUGGGUAACCUACCCUCCGGGCCGGGAUAGCUUCGGGAAACUGAAGGUAAUACCGGGCGACGCAGCGAGAUCGCAUGGUCUUGCUGCCAAAGGUCCGCCGCCGGGGGAGGGGCUCACGUGGUAUUAGCUAGACGGCGGGGUAACGGCCCACCGUGGCAAAGAUGCCUAGCAGGUGUGAGAGCACGACCUGCGCCACUGGCACUGAGACACUGGCCAGACACCGACGGGUGGCUGCAGUCGGGGAUCUUCGGCAAUGGGCGCAAGCCUGACCGAGCGACGCCGCGUGUGCGAUGAAGGCCUUCGGGUUGUAAAGCACUGUCGAGGGGGAGGAAGCCGCAAGGUUGACCUAUCCCUGGAGGAAGCACGGGCUAAGUUCGUG